UUGACUCUGUGGAGGCGCGAACCGACUUCAGUUGAAAAUGGAGCGGAUGACCUGUGGAUAGGGGUGAAAGGCCAAUCAAACUCGGUGAUAGCUGGUUCUCCGCGAAAUGCAUUUAGGUGCAGCGUCGUGCGUUCAACGAUGGGGGUAGAGCACUGAAUGGGCUAGGGGUCCUACAAGACUACCGACCCCAAUCAAACUCCGAAUACCAUCGUUCCAGAGCACGGCAGUGAGACCUCGGGGGAUGAGCUUCGAGGUCGAGAGGGAAACAGCCCAGACCGCCGGCUAAGGUCCCAAAAUCUGAACUAAGUGGUAAACGAUGUGAGAUUGCGAAGACAGCCAGGAGGUUGGCUUGAAAGCAGCCAUCCUUGAAAGAGUGCGUAACAGCUCACUGGUCGAGUGAUCUUGCGCGGACAAUGUAACGGGGCUCAAGUUCAGUACCGAAGCCGCGGAUGCGACUCUUUGAGUCGUGUGGUAGCGGAGCGUCGAGCGUGCAGCGAAGCGGCGGGACAACCCAGCCGUGGAGCGCGUUCGAGUGCGAAUGUUGGCAUGAGUAGCGAAUGAGGGGUGAGAACCCCCUCCGCCGUAUGUCCAAGGGUUCCUGGGCGAGGCCAAUCCUCCCAGGGUGAGUCGGGAGCUAAGGCGAGGCCGAGAGGCGUAGUCGAUGCACAACUGGUUGAUAUUCCAGUACCACCAUGUUCGCGUCCGUCCCAAUACUCUGUUGCUAAGGGGCUGUGUUGACUUCGGUCAACGCGAACCGACCCACAUUGUUGCGGGAAGCUGUAGGGGGACGCAGGAAGGUAGAUGAACCCGGUGAAUGGUAGAACCGGGGUAAGCGUGUAGGAGGAGGACCAGGUAAAUCCGGGCCUCAUAAACUCUGAGACGUGAUACCGAGCCGCUUCAGGCGAAGUCAUUGAUCCUAUGCUGCCUAGAAAAGCCCAGCAGCGAGUUGACAUGGUGCUCGUACCCCAAACCAACACAGGUGGACAGGUAGAGCAUACCAAGGCGAGUGGGAUAACUAUGGUUAAGGAACUCGGCAAAUUGCCUCCGUAACUUCGGGAGAAGGAGGACCCCAGUAGCGUGAUGAGACUUGCUCUCUCAGCGUGAAGGGGUGGCACAAAAUUGAGGGAAGCGACUGUUUACCAAAAACACAGCAGCGUGCUAAGCCGUAAGGCGCUGUAUACGCUGUGACUCCUGCCCGGUGCUGGAAGGUUACGGGGAUGGGUUAGUCCUUCGGGACGAAGCUCUGAACCUAAGCCCCAGUAAACGGCGGCCGUAACUGUAACGGUCCUAAGGUAGCGAAAUUCCUUGUCGGGUAAGUUCCGACCUGCACGAAUGGAGUAACGACUUCCCUACUGUCUCAACCAUAGACCCAGCGAAAUUGAAGUACGAGUAAAGAUGCUCGUUAGCUGCAGAAGGACGGAAAGACCCCGUGGACCUUUACUAUAACUUGAUGUUGUGUUUU
rnacentral:rRNA from 1 species